rnacentral:tRNA from 2 species
GGCUCCGUAGCUCAGCAGGAUAGAGCAAGCGUUUCCUAAACGAGAGGUCGGGGGUUCGAAUCCCUCCGGGGCCACCA